ensembl:lncRNA
GAGGCAGGCAGAAGUGAUCCAGAGUUCAGGCUCCCCCUUGCCUUUCAUCCUCCCAUUCUCCUUCUACGCCACCUCCUCUUCUUCCGGUCUCUCCAUCUGGAAACCAUGAGCCUCAUGGAUUCCAGGCACAAAUUCUCAGAUUUCAGAUGUUUGGGAAAUUUCUCUGCUUCGGUCAUUCCUCAAGAGUUAAAGAAUUCAGUUUGGGAAGAAAAACAGCUGAGACUCUUCCACAGCAGAGAAAAUAAACAAGGUGUGGGGAGUACCCAUCCCCUCGCCCACUCAGCUCCAGACCCGCACACAAUGUCUGACUUCAGAGGAAGCGUUGGGAUCUCCCUGGGAGGGAGCAGACGCAGAAGCAAAAUCUCCACUCGUGAAAACAUGCUUGUCUCCCUUCUGAAGUGUGAACACGACUGGCACCAGGCUGAUUCUGGGGUUUCUCCUGUGGCCAGUCAAGGCAGCCUGGCCUGCUUGACGAAGCCCUCUGCCACAGCAGGGCACCAGGCACCACGCGAAGGUUGCUCCACGAGCCUCUUUAUUCCAGCUUGAUGAUUACAUCCAUUUUCCGGACCAGAAAACUGAGGUGUAAGGUCAUUAAAAAUGGGGGUUGGUAUCUGGCCUCUGACAGAGGUGACUAUGGACCAUUCUCAAAUGCCUUCCCUGGCACUUUAGCCUUGAACCUUCAGGUGCGCUCAUGGGGGCAUCCGUGUGGCAGGCAGCAGCACGGGGCUGGGAGGUGCCCGUGAGAGUGAGUGUGUGUAUGCCACGCCAGAGGGAAAUGCGGGCACAUCAAGAAGAAUAUGACUUGGCACCCGUCCACACUGCUGCUCUUUAAAUAUUAGGUCAACGUUUAUCUAGAGGAUAGAAUGGUGCGCACCUCUCUACAGGUGUGGUAUGCAGGCGGGGUGGGAGGACAGGCAGCAGAGGCUGUGCCCCCAACUGCAUGCCACACUCACAGAAACAAAAGCCCUGACCCCCUUUCUAGAGAAGACAAUUUAGUGCCCAUCUGUUACUCCAGCUCACCCUUUUGGGGGUCCCACCUACUUCCAAAAUGGCUUUCAAAGUAUUUGUUCCAACUCCACACAAUUAUCUCCCUGGAAGGAGUUCUCAGAAGUACAAUUUUCCACCCCUUGACAAUUUAGUGACAUUUUUACGCCCCUCCUCUCAACAGACUGGUCCUGUGUCAUGUGUCGUGUGCAUGUGUGUGUGUGUGUGUGUGUGGUCAGGCUGGUGAUUUAGCGAUGAGCCUGUUCCUUAUAUAGAAAGUGUGUGUGACACCCUUCAUGUGGUCACACACUGUCUUAUCCAGAGUUCAUGCCCUUCCAAGUAAAGAAGAGACACAGGGUGGUAUUUUCUUAGGAGAUUAUUAGACCCACUGGAAUGUAACAAGAGCAUUUAGCAAUGGUGAGGAAUAAAUAUCCCCACUUGCUGGACAGCUGUCUUUCCUCUGCCCCCUCCCUUUCCUUAGCCGCCUCUGACCCUUUCUCUCCCAGGGACAAAAACGUAUCACCCAGAGGAGCGUGUGGACAUAAACAGGGCUGGAAAGGGCUAUCACCUGCACGAUCCCCGUUCACAUCAUGACGUUUCACACCUGUCCAGGGAUUCCCUUUCUCGGAAUGCACACUACCUACGGCCUUGAAUUGGAUUUACCCACUAUCCCAUUUCAUGUCCUCUUAGCCUGAC